UUAACCCUUAAUCAAAUAUAGGGAAAUUAUUUCCCACUUGGUCUGAAUCGAAAAAAAUAUUUUUAUUUUUUUACUGGUUACUCUGAUCAAUAUCAACAUUAGAAACAAAAUAAUCUUGAUUAAGUUUUAGAUUUUAUUAAUGCUAACACUUUAAAAAAAACCGCAAGCUGUCAUCGUACGUCAAUCUCAAAAUCAAGAUUUAAAUUUUUCUGUGUCAAAAACCGGUUCUCGUGACGAUAUUUCAAAAUUUUUGGAGAAAAAAAUCUGCUAAGUACCUAACCACAAUACUAUUGUAAACUUAAAUUGUUUUACAAAUGGAUUUUAUGGUGAUUGGCACGCAUUUUGAAACAAUUAUUAAAAAGAAACGUAAUAUCGCUUACUACGAAGAAUUUAGAAGAGACUGUCGAAAACAUAGCUGACAUUUCUGAUUUAUUAGACACAGAUUCGGAAGACGACUCAUGCUAUGUCAACAGUAUUAAUUCUCCUUCCGAUAGUUACCUCAAACAACUUAACGACUGCAUAUUUCCUUAUUAAAAUAUUGUUCUAAAUACUAUUGUAUCAUUUUAUAGUUUUUUUUUCUAAAACAAAAAAAUAUUUAUAAAAAAACAAGCAAACUAGCGGCAACUAGCUUGUAUAGAAACUGUAGUAAAUAUUAAUUAAAAUUUGUGAUCUGUACCGGAUAGUGGGAAAUAGUUUCCCACUUGAUAUUAUUUUGCUUAGCAAUCACGAAUAGUGGGAAAUUAUUUCCCAUAGCAAAACCCCCCUUUCCCUCCACUAAAAAAAAUUUAAAACAUUUUUUUCGUAAUCUACGGACCCAACUUACCUAAAAACCAUACAUGGUUUACAUUUUUAUCAAAAAAAAUCAUCCAUUUGAUUAAGGGUUAAA